AGGGAUCAUUACCGAGUUUACAACUCCCAAACCCCUGUGAACAUACCUAUUUGUUGCCUCGGCGGUGCCUGUUCCGACAGCCCGCCAGAGGACCCCAAACCCUGAUUACAUUUAAGAAGUCUUCUGAGUAAACCGAUUAAAUAAAUCAAAACUUUCAACAACGGAUCUCUUGGUUCUGGCAUCGAUGAAGAACGCAGCGAAAUGCGAUAAGUAAUGUGAAUUGCAGAAUUCAGUGAAUCAUCGAAUCUUUGAACGCACAUUGCGCCCGCUAGUAUUCUGGCGGGCAUGCCUGUCCGAGCGUCAUUUCAACCCUCAAGCCCCCGGGCUUGGUGUUGGGGAUCGGCGAGCCUCCGCGCCCGCCGUCCCCUAAAUCUAGUGGCGGUCUCGCUGUAGCUUCCUCUGCGUAGUAGCACACCUCGCACUGGGAAACAGCGCGGCCACGCCGUUAAACCCCCAACUUCUGAACGUUUGACCUCGGAUCAGGUAGGAAUACCCGCUGAACUUAA
rnacentral:rRNA from 1 species